UACGUAGGGGGCUAGCGUUGUCCGGAAUCAUUGGGCGUAAAGAGCGUGUAGGCGGCCCGGUAAGUCCGCUGUGAAAGUCGGGGGGCUCAACCCUCGAAUGCCGGUGGAUACUGUCGGGCUAGAGUGCGGAAGAGGCGAGUGGAAUUCCUGGUGUAGCGGUGAAAUGCGCAGAUAUCAGGAGGAACACCGAUUGCGAAGGCGGGUCUCUGGGCCGAUACUGACGCUGGAGGAGCGAAAGCCGUGGGGAGCAAACAGG
rnacentral:rRNA from 1 species